rnacentral:rRNA from 1 species
UCGGAAUUUCAGGCCUAACACAUGCAAGUCGAACGGUGAUGNUCCAGCUUGCUGGAGUGGAUCAGUGGCGAACGGGUGAGUAACACGUGAGCAACCUGCCCCAGACUCUGGAAUAAGCGCUGGAAACGGCGUCUAAUACUGGAUACGAAACUGGCCCGCAUGGGCAUGGUUUGGAAAGUUUUUCGGUUUGGGAUGGGCUCGCGGCCUAUCAGCUUGUUGGUGAGGUAAUGGUCACCAAGGCGACGACGGGUAGCCGGCCUGAGAGGGCGACCGGCCACACCGGGACUGAGACACGGCCCAGAUUCCUACGGGAGGCAGCAGUGGGGAAUAUUGCACAAUGGGNGAAAGCCUGAUGCAGCGACGCCGCGUGAGGGAUGA